AAUUAAUGAACUUGCUAUAAGUGUAUAUUUUGAAAAUAUAAAAAAGAAGUUAAAUCUUCUAUUAAUUU
rnacentral:tRNA from 1 species